GCCAGCAUGGCAUAGUGGUUUAAGUGUUGAACUACAACUCUGGAGAAUAGAGUUCAAAUCUCUGCUCAGGCA